rnacentral:misc_RNA from 1 species
GAUGAAGAACGUAGCGAAAUGCGAUAAGUAAUGCGAAUUGCAGAAUUCCAGUGAGUCAUCGAAUCUUUGAACGCACAUUGCGCCCUUUGGUAUUCCGAAGGGCAUGCCUGUUCGAGCGUCAUUAUCACCCCUCAAGCCCUCGGCUUGGUGUUGGACGGUUUGGUGGAGGCCCCCUCGGGGGCUCCUGCCCCUCCCAAAGACAAUGACGGCGGCCUCGUUGGACCCCCGGUACACUGAGUUCUUCACGGGACACGUAUCGGACACAUGGGUUUACGGGACACGGUCUGCCUCCCCUCAGGGAGAAUCUUUCUAAGGUUGACCUCGGAUCAGGUAGGGAUACCCGCUGAACUUAAGCAUAUCAAUAAGCGGAGAA